GCUCAGGUCGAUGGUUGGAACUAUAUAAAAUGCUCGGCUAUAUUAUACGGCUCAGUGCUGCAGGGACACACUGGAAGGAACGUGCAUUCGCUGGUGCUUUCUGUUAGGUAGGAGCAGGAGUCACCAUGUUGCACAGAAAUAUGUAUUGGUCUGGUAUUUUCACUGUAAUGGUGCUUAGUUUUCUGCUUUACACUACAGCUUUAACAGGGAUCGGGAGAUGCAGACCACCGAACUGCGCCAGGCGCCCACGGAAUAAGACCUGUAGAAAUCCAUGCGUGGGAUACUAUUGUGUAAAUGGAACGCUGGAGAAAGAAGAGUGCCUCGCUUUGACCGACCCGCGAUGCCAUCGCUUAUUCGCUAAUCCCAGAGAACCUUAUCCUGGAUGUUGCGGUGCUAUUGCUUGCCCUGGUGGAUAGAUGCAAAGAGCUGUCUUGAAGAAAAUUGAGUGUCAGCACCCUUUAUCUCAAGCCUGUUGCUUAACAAUUACCAUAUUUAUUAUGGCGCGGUGUGCACGUUAUAUGCCGAAUGGUUCGCUAAUGUAUGCGUAUGAAUAAAUAAAUUUCUGACUCUGCA
rnacentral:lncRNA from 1 species